UAGGAUUCCGUUAGUAGCGGCGAGCGAAGCGGGAAGAGCUCAAAUUUGAAAGCUGGCGUCCUACGGGCGUCCGCAUUGUAAUCUAUAGAGGCGUUUUCUGUGCUGGACCGUGUCCAAGUCCCUUGGAACAGGGUAUCAAAGAGGGUGACAAUCCCGUACUUGACACGACAACCAGUGCUCUGUGAUACGUCUUCUACGAGUCGAGUUGUUUGGGAAUGCAGCUCAAAAUGGGUGGUGAAUUCCAUCUAAAGCUAAAUAUUGGCGAGAGACCGAUAGCGAACAAGUACCGUGAGGGAAAGAUGAAAAGCACUUUGGAAAGAGAGUUAAACAGUAUGUGAAAUUGUUGAAAGGGAAACGAUGGAGGUCAGUCGUGUCUGUGGGAUUCAGCCGUCUCUGGCGGUGUACUUCCCACAGACGGGUCAACAUCAGUUUUGGCUGGCGGAUAAAGGCAGGAGGAAGGUGGCACCCCCUGGUGUGUUAUAGCCUCUUGUUGCAUACGCUGGCUGAGACUGAGGAAUGCGGCCUCGCCUUUAUGGCGGGGGUUCGCCCACGUUCGAGCUUAGGAUGUUGACAUAAUGGCCUU
rnacentral:rRNA from 1 species